rnacentral:rRNA from 1 species
GACGAACGCNGGCGGCGUGCUUAACACAUGCAAGUUGAACGGGCAGAUAUGGAAGCUUGCUGAAGUAUCUGUUAGUAGCGGACGGGUGAGUAAUGCAUGAGGAGCUGUCAUAGGGAGGGGGACAACAGUUGGAAACGGCUGCUAAUACCCCGUAUGCCGGAAGGUGAAAGGGAGCGAUCCGCCCGAUGAGGUACUCAUGUCCUAUCAGCUGGUUGGUGGGGUAACGGCCUACCAAGGCGACGACGGGUAGCCGGCCUGAGAGGGUGAACGGCCACACUGGAACUGAGAUACGGUCCAGACUCCUACGGGAGGCAGCAGUGGGGAAUAUUGGGCAAUGGGGGGAACCCUGACCCAGCGACGCCGCGUGAGGGAAGACGGCCUUCGGGUUGUAAACCUCUUUUGUACGGGAAGAAGGAAGUGACGGUACUGUACGAAUAAGUCCCGGCUAACUACGUGCCAGCAGCCGCGGUAAUACGUAGGGGACGAGCGUUGUCCGGAAUUACUGGGCGUAAAGGGCGCGUAGGCUGUGCUGCAAGUCAGCUGUGAAAUAUCUGGGCUUAACCUGGAUAUGCGGAUGAGACUGCAGUGCUGGAGUGCUGUAGAGGCAAGUGGAAUUCCCAGUGUAGCGGUGAAAUGCGUAGAUAUUGGGAAGAACACCGGUGGCGAAGGCGACUUGCUGGGCAGCAACUGACGCUGAGGCGCGAAAGCCAGGGGAGCGAACGGGAUUAGAUACCCCGGUAGUCCUGGCCGUAAACGAUGAAUGCUAGGUGUGGGUGUAGAGAUACAUUCGUGCCGGANUUAACGCGAUAAGCAUUCCGCCUGGGGAGUACGGUCGCAAGAUUGAAACU